GUUAUAGGAUCAAGUGACUAAGUGCAUGCGGCGGAUGCCUUGGCGAUCACAGGCGAAGAAAGACGCGGCAGCCUGCGAAAAGCUGCGGGGAGCUGGCAAACGAGCUUUGAUCCGCAGAUAUCUGAAUGGGGGAACCCACACCGCAAGGUGUAUCCGUAACUGAAUACAUAGGUUACGGAGGCGAACGAGGAGAACUGAAACAUCUAAGUAUCCUCAGGAAAAGAAAUCAACCGAGAUUCCGGCAGUAGCGGCGAGCGAACCCGGAGGAGCCCAGCUUUUGAUAGUACGAACUUUAGCCGAAAGGACCUGGAAAGGCCUGCUAUAGUGGGUGAUAGCCCCGUAGGCGAAAGAGUUGGUACGGUACUAAGGAAGCGAGAAGUAGAGCGGGACACGUGGAAUCCUGUUCGAAGACGGGGGGACCAUCCUCCAAGGCUAAAUACUCGUGAUCGACCGAUAGUGAACCAGUACCGUGAGGGAAAGGCGAAAAGAACCCCGGGAGGGGAGUGAAAUAGAACCUGAAACCGCAUGCAUACAAACAGUAGGAGCCUUUACGGAGGUGACUGCGUACCUUUUGCAUAAUGGGUCAGCGACUUACAUUCUGUGGCGAGCUUAACCGAAUAGGGGAGGCGCAGCGAAAGCGAGUUCGAAAUGAGCGUUCAGUCGCAGGGUGUAGACCCGAAACCAGAUGAGCUAUCCAUGGCCAGGUUGAAGGUGUGGUAACACACACUGGAGGACCGAACCGACUAGUGUUGCAAAAUUAGCGGAUGAGCUGUGGAUAGGGGUGAAAGGCCAAACAAAUCUGGAGAUAGCUGGUUCUCCCCGAAAACUAUUGAGGUAGUGCCUCGUGUGUCGCUCCAGGGGGUAGAGCACUGUUUUGGCUAGGGGGACAUGGAGUCUUACCAAACCAAGGCAAACUCCGAAUACCUGGAAGCGUAAGCACGGGAGACAGAGCACCGGGUGCUAACGUCCGGACUCAAAAGGGAAACAACCCAGACCGCCGGCUAAGGUCCCAAAUAACAGCUAAGUGGAAAACGAAGUGGAAAGGCCGUGACAACCAGGAAGUUGGCUUAGAAGCAGCCAUCCUUCAAAGAAAGCGUAAUAGCUCACUGGUCGAGUCCUUCUGCGCGGAAGAUGUAACGGGGCUAAGCUGUUAACCGAAGCCGCGGAUGCGCUGGUUAUCCAGUGCGUGGUAGGGGAGCGUUCUGUAAGUCUGCGAAGGCGGUUCGAGAGGACUGCUGGAGAUAUCAGAAGUGCGAAUGCUGACAUGAGUAACGUUAAAGCAGGUGAAAAGCCUGCUCGCCGUAAGCCCAAGGAUUCCUGCUCUACGUUCAUCGGAGCAGGGUGAGUCGGCUCCUAAGGUCAGGCCGAAAGGCGUAGCCGAUGGGAAUCAGGUUAAUAUUCCUGAACCUGCGUCAGAUGCGAUGGGGGGACGGAGCAUGGAAGAUCAUCCGGGUGUUGGAAGUCCCGGUUGUUUAGCGUAGGAGGUCUGCAGGCAAAUCCGCAGACGCAUCUCCAAGGCAAAGACACGUGCCGCCACGGCGGCGAAGUGAUCGGAAGUGCUUCCAAGAAAAGCCUCUAAGCCCCAGUCUGACGCGGACCGUACCGCAAACCGACACUGGUGGGCGAGCUGAAUAUGCUCAGGCGCUUGAGAGAACUCGGGAGAAGGAACUCGGCAAAUUGACACCGUAACUUCGGAAGAAGGUGUGCCGUAGUACCGUGAGAGGAGAGACACCUUGAGCGGGAAACGGUCUCAGAGAAUAGGUGGCUGCGACUGUUUAUUAAAAACACAGCACUCUGCAAAGUCGAAAGACGACGUAUAGGGUGUGAUGCCUGCCCGGUGCUGGAAGAUUAAUUGAUGGGGUGAGAGCCCUUGAUCGAAGUCCCAGUAAACGGCGGCCGUAACUAUAACGGUCCUAAGGUAGCGAAAUUCCUUGUCGGGUAAGUUCCGACCUGCACGAAUGGCAUAACGAUGGCCACACUGUCUCCUCCCGAGACUCAGUGAAGUUGAAAUGUUUGUGAUGAUGCAAUCUACCCGCGGCUAGACGGAAAGACCCCAUGAACCUUUACUGCAGCUUUGCAUUGAACUGUGAACCGAUUUGUGUAGGAUAGGUGGGAGGCAGAGAAGAGGCCACGCCAGUGGNGCGGACCGUACCGCAAACCGACACUGGUGGGCGAGCUGAAUAUGCUCAGGCGCUUGAGAGAACUCGGGAGAAGGAACUCGGCAAAUUGACACCGUAACUUCGGAAGAAGGUGUGCCGUAGUACCGUGAGAGGAGAGACACCUUGAGCGGGAAACGGUCUCAGAGAAUAGGUGGCUGCGACUGUUUAUUAAAAACACAGCACUCUGCAAAGUCGAAAGACGACGUAUAGGGUGUGAUGCCUGCCCGGUGCUGGAAGAUUAAUUGAUGGGGUGAGAGCCCUUGAUCGAAGUCCCAGUAAACGGCGGCCGUAACUAUAACGGUCCUAAGGUAGCGAAAUUCCUUGUCGGGUAAGUUCCGACCUGCACGAAUGGCAUAACGAUGGCCACACUGUCUCCUCCCGAGACUCAGUGAAGUUGAAAUGUUUGUGAUGAUGCAAUCUACCCGCGGCUAGACGGAAAGACCCCAUGAACCUUUACUGCAGCUUUGCAUUGAACUGUGAACCGAUUUGUGUAGGAUAGGUGGGAGGCAGAGAAGAGGCCACGCCAGUGGCCUUGGAGCCGACCUUGAAAUACCACCCUGAUUUGUUUGCGGUUCUAACCACGGACAGUGAUCCUGUCUUGGGACCGUGCAUGGUAGGCAGUUUGACUGGGGCGGUCUCCUCCUAAAGGGUAACGGAGGAGUACGAAGGUACGCUAGGUACGGUCGGAAAUCGUGCUGAUAGUGCAAUGGCAAAAGCGUGCUUGACUGCGAGAGCAACAACUCGAGCAGAUGCGAAAGCAGGUCAUAGUGAUCCGGUGGCUCUGAAUGGAAGGGCCAUCGCUCAACGGAUAAAAGGUACUCUGGGGAUAACAGGCUGAUACCGCCCAAGAGUUCAUAUCGACGGCGGUGUUUGGCACCUCGAUGUCGGCUCAUCUCAUCCUGGGGCUGUAGUCGGUCCCAAGGGUAUGGCUGUUCGCCAUUUAAAGAGGUACGUGAGCUGGGUUUAAAACGUCGUGAGACAGUUUGGUCCCUAUCUGCCGUGGGCGUUGGAAGAUUGACGGGGGCUGCUCCUAGUACGAGAGGACCGGAGUGGACGCACCUCUGGUGUACCGGUUGUCACGCCAGUGGCAUUGCCGGGUAGCUAAGUGCGGAAGAGAUAACCGCUGAAAGCAUCUAAGCGGGAAACUUGCCUGAAGAUGAGUCUUCCCGGAGGUUGAACCUCCCUCAAGAGUCGUCCGAGACCAGGACGUCGAUAGGUCAGGUGUGUAAGCGCUGUAAGGCGUUAAGCUAACUGAUACUAAUUGCUCGUGAGGCUUGAUCCUAUAACC
rnacentral:rRNA from 1 species